AAAGCAGGUCUGCAAUUGCAGUACUUCAGACUAGUGAGGUAUUGUCAUUAACCCUGCUGAGAGCAUCGUCCUGCUAUUGAACUACUCUUCCUGCUCACUGUGGCUGAUGUAGGUCUGUAGUGGGGACAUGG
rnacentral:snoRNA from 10 species